AUUGAACGCUGGCGGCAGGCCUAACACAUGCAAGUCGAGCGGAUGAGUGGAGCUUGCUCCAUGAUUCAGCGGCGGACGGGUGAGUAAUGCCUAGGAAUCUGCCUGGUAGUGGGGGACAACGUUUCGACAGGAACGCUAAUACCGCAUACGUCCUACGGGAGAAAGUGGGGGAUCUUCGGACCUCACGCUAUCAGAUGAGCAUAGGUCGGAUUAGCUAGUUGGUGAGGUAAAGGCUCACCAAGGCGACGAUCCGUAACUGGUCUGAGAGGAUGAUCAGUCACACUGGAACUGAGACACGGUCCAGACUCCUACGGGAGGCAGCAGUGGGGAAUAUUGGACAAUGGGCGAAAGCCUGAUCCAGCCAUGCCGCGUGUGUGAAGAAGGUCUUCGGAUUGUAAAGCACUUUAAGUUGGGAGGAAGGGCAGUAAGUUAAUACCUUGCUGUUUUGACGUUACCAACAGAAUAAGCACCGGCUAACUUCGUGCCAGCCGCCGCCGUAAAAC
rnacentral:rRNA from 1 species